rnacentral:rRNA from 1 species
GAUGAACGCUGGCGGCGUGCUUAACACAUGCAAGUCGAACGGAAAGGCCCUGCUUUUGUGGGGCGCUCGAGUGGCGAACGGGUGAGUAACACGCGAGUAACCUGCCCUUGACUUUGUGAUAACUCCAGGAAACUGGGGCGAAUAUCGGAUAGGAGCUUCUGCUCCGUGGUGUGGGUUGGAAAGUUUCGGCGGUUGGGGAUGGACUCGCGGCUUAUCAGCUAGUUGGUGGGGUAGUGGAUGACCAAGGUUUUGACGGGUAGGCGGCAUGGGAGCGGGAACGGCGUCAAUAGGCCUACGGUAGGGCGCAGUCGGGAACGGGAGGCAAGGGUCGAAAACCUUGCGCAGCGGGGCCACGUGUGUGACGAAGGCGUCCGGGGCGGAAUGACGUCCUUCAGGGUGUGAACCGCUGUCGACUGAGACGAGGCGUGAGUGACGGUACUUGAUGAAGAAGCACCGGCUAACUACGUG